GGGGGCCGCUGGCCCCUCUUGGCCGCCGUCGCCACGCACCGAGUUUGUGUUUAAGGAGAAACUAACAAUGAAAACGGCCUCGUUGACGGAGGAAAAGUUGGAAUGCAGCCUCUGGUGCUGUUUGAGCGAUCCCUCUCCCCGGGGCCUGGCCGCGCGCUGCUGUGUUCUGGAAGGGCUCAUUGUACAGUCAAGGCGGCAGGGCCUUCUUCUGUCACCCAUGCUGGAGUGCAGUAGCAUGAUCACAGCUCACGGUAGCCUCCACCUUCUGGGCUCAAUCCUCCUACCUCAGCCUUCCAAGUAGCUGGGACUACAGUCUUGAGGAUCCAUUUUCUGAGACGGUGAUGGGAAAGAUGUUGGUUGUCAAGUGGAAUCUCAGCAGUCAUUUUCAGACAAAGUUAGAGAAAACAAGUAUGGAAGAUGCCUGAUUCUCAAAGAGUCAUCCAGUCUUGGGAUUACCGCCUACGUCCAUGGAAGUGAAAGUCCUCUUUUUCUUUGUACCACUUACUGAGAGGAGGAAACUGAGACACAGAAAAGUGAAGUAACCCGCCUGGGGUCACACAGUAGAGGUCUAAGUCAGGAUUCAAAGCCAGCAGUCUGGCCCAGAGCUCCAAAUCUUUGGCCUUACAAUACUUUGCCACCGCAACAGCGUGAUCGGUGACAGGCCCGCUGUCUGUCCUGGGACGGGUCAGCUGAGCCCCCAUUCUGAGAGUGAGCCCUCUGGCUGCUUGUUGCACACUGGGCUUGGGUUGCAGGGCUGCAGGCCCCCUCGCUGGCUGGCUCCUGGAAGCGCUGUGCUCCCACAAAAAGCCAGCCAGGCCUGAGGGCUCAGGGCUCACAGGUCCAUGGAAAUCAGCCCCAGGUGACUCCUUCCCACCUCUGCCCAUGAAAUGUGCCUCCCAGGCUCCAGGUUUCCCCUGGAAUACAGGCCCCUGGUGUUCCCAGUGCUGUACCUGCAGUGUCUGCUUUGCUCUGAGGCCAUGGCAUUAUUGACUUAAAAUAAGCUGCUUGGGCUUUUAAAAAACAAAGAAUCUGCAGACUCUGUAGCCCUUUUCCUUUCCACCUGUGCUGGGGAGCAUGGCAGUGGAGAGGGUGGGCAGGCCGCUUCCUGUUGCGUAGGUCAGGCCCCCCCCAGCCCGCCCUGCUCCACGCUCUGGCCCCUCUAUCAAGAGCUAUUUCUCAUUUUUUCCAAGCAUGAGGUUCAGGUGUCUCCAUCCUCCCAGGCCCCCGGCCCCCUGCCCAGGGAUGCCUUUUAUGGGACCAUGUCUGCCCUCAACUGGGCCGCCCUCCGAGUUCUCUCCAUUUUAUUCCCCUGAUGCCUGAAGUGGUGUUUGUUUGUUUGUUUGGUUGUUUCUGGAGAUCCGAAUACACAACACUUGGGGUUGAGGUUUUUUUUUA
rnacentral:lncRNA from 1 species